rnacentral:rRNA from 1 species
AGGACGAACGCUGGCGGCGUGCUUAACACAUGCAAGUCGAGCGGAAAGGCCCUUCGGGGUACUCGAGCGGCGAACGGGUGAGUAACACGUGAGCAACCUGCCCUUAGCUCCGGGAUAGCUCCGGGAAACCGGAAUUAAUACCGGAUACGACCACGGCCGACAUCUGCUGUGGUGGAAAGGAUUCCGGCUAAGGAUGGGCUCGCGGCCUAUCAGCUAGUUGGUGGGGUAAUGGCCUACCAAGGCGACGACGGGUA